UAAGAAAUCCUGGCCCCCAAAUUACCUAGUGAAAUUGCUUUCCUGAAGAGCAGAGUGGCCUCGAGGGUAGUAACACUACUGCAGCAACUCUGUCCUUCCUCCCGGCUGCUUCCCUAAGAACUGGUUGGGAUUAACUUAGAAAUGCACCACACUGAGAGGAACCUUGGCAGUCAGCACAGGCAGGAUGCAGGCCCCGCCACAUGCUUUGUGCCACUCAGCACCGGUUUUCAUCACCUAUACAAACCACCAAGGACAAGCUCUGUGCCAGGCCUCUGGAGACGCUGGGGAGAGACGUGGAGGGGUGGGCACGGCCCGUCUGUGCCAUGACCUGGGAGACACUGGGGAGAGAUGUGGAGGGGUGGGCACGCCCCGUCUGUGCCAGGCCUCGGGAGACGCCGGGGAGAGAUGUGGAGGGGUGGGCACGGCCUGUCUGUGCCAGGCCUCGGGAGACGCCGGGGAGAGAUGAGCAGGGGUGGGCACAGCCCCAUCGGUGCCACGACCUGGGAGAUGCUGGUGAGAGAUGUGGAGGGGUGGGCACGGCCCCGUCUGUGCCAGGCCUCGGGAGACGCCGGGGAGAGAUGUGGAGGGGUGGGCAUGGCCAUGUUUCCCAGAGCCCAGUCUCCAGGAGAAGAAGCAGAGAUCAGCAUGAGUACAAAUGGCCACGAACAGACCUUAGGGGAUGUAAAAGUGCAGCGGGGGGAGAGAGAGAUUCUGACAAGCCCACCCAUGGCGGAGGCACAGUUUGAGAAGAGCUUUGAUGUUUUAGUGGGUCUUUGAUAAGCACAGGUGCUCCAAGAUAGAAAUUUUUCCCUUCUGUAAUAACCACAUUUUCUAGACCAGAAAGGCUGAAAAUGUGGAGGAGGGGUGGGAAGAAAGAGCACUUAAGGAUCCCUUGAGUCAGCAGCCCAAUUACGUCAAAAUCUAUCCCUCCCUCCUCACUGGGCCCGUGGGCCAGUAGCCACAUGGCUGCAGAUGUUUCAGACCCAACAGGUGGUGGAAAGGUGCUUUUAUCUGUUCUCAAAGUGCUUUUUAGGAGAGAGAAACCCCUGGAGAUCUUUUCCUCACCUUUCAUUGUUGAAACUUGGGUCACUUGUCCACUCCUGAAUCAACCCUGUCAACAGGAAAUGAAGUUGGCAUCCUCAUGGUCAACCGGCCCUUCUUUGGAUGAGAUCUGCACCUCCCGAGAAAGACAGCAGCUUCUGGGUCAUGGAGCAUUUGAAAAGGGCUCUCCCACUCUGCUGAAGUCUUGGGCUGUGACACCCGGCUGGAUCAAACAAAGAAACCCCUCAGCAUCCGGUGAGUUUGAUCUUUAAUUAGUACCUGCCUUAUACACAGGUUCUAGGACCUCCUCCUACCCUCUCUUAGCUUUCUAGAAUUAGCAGGGUGGACCUGGAAUUCCACAGGGAACCGAAAAGGACAUGGUUACACAAAUAAGAAAAUAGAUAAAAUUUCUAAGUUUUGCCAGUGGCUUUGCCUUCAUACAGAGAUUCCCAGAGCACCCAGCCUCAGUGCCACCUGCUGUGGCCUGUGCUCUCUCCUCAGAAGUCCAUGUCCUAUGCAGAGCCACACAGCAAGGCUGGCCACUCUUCGCAGGUGGGUAGUAGAAACUUUAUCUAUCCCUGUUUCCUUCUUGCUUUCCAACCACCAAGUGUGGUGGGCCAUACUUCAGGGGCAGCUGUAGAAAGAUCGCCCUCCAAGAGACAUGAAUAGAACUUUCUCUAAAGAUGACAGACGAAUGGCUAACAAACACAUGAAAAAAUGUUUAUCAUCUCUAUAUAUUAGAGAAAUGAAAAUCAAAACAACCCUGAGAUAUCAUCUAACCCCAGUGAGAAUGGCCCACAUCACAAAAUCUCAAAACUGCAGAUGCUGGCGUGGAUGUGGAGAGAAGGGAACACUUUUACACUGCUGGUGGGACUGCAAACUAGUACAACCUUUCUGGAAGGAAGUAUGGAGAAACCUCAAAGCACUCAAGCUAGACCUCCCAUUUGAUCCUGCAAUCCCAUUACUGGGCAUCU